UCCCCGACGACAAAUGGCUUUCUGAUAUGUUUCUGAAUAAGACGGUAAAAUGUCAUUUUCCGCGAGGUUUGUCGAUAGGUACACAUGCAGACGUAUGUUUUUUUUUUUUUACCUGGAAAUAAUCCAUGUUGCUUGGACUGUACAUUCUUUAUCCGGUAAUCGAUGUAACGGUUAAAUGUGCAUUCAAGCGCUACAGUGUCUUUUAAAGGAAACCACCAACAGUACGAACGAACGGACACGCUUGACAUUAUGGUCGUGAUGAUGAUCACCAGAACUACAACCAGGCAAGAACCUGAAUCUGACGCAAAUCGUCAAAGGAAAUGCGUCACGUCCAUGACCAGCAAAAGAAAUGGUCUUAGACGUAGCAUGUUCGAAAUCGUCUGUGAUAGAAAUACAAAAAUAACACAGUUGUAUGAAGAUGUGCCAAUGUAGCUGACCGUUCGUGGAAUUAAUCACUGGAUACCAUCAUGAUGUUUGAUGCAACUGGAAUGAAAACCAAGAAUUACGGAAUUCAAUGUGAAUGACAAGACCUUAAUACGUAAUCAGGGCCGUAUCUCUGCACAAUGCUGAGUCAAAUGGGUAUUUUGCAAAAUAGUGGUUGACUCCAUGUGUCUUAAUCUAGUGCCUCGUCUAUAGAACAACAGUCACUUGUAUUUGUGCGAGCAAAAAUUCAAUGGGAAUAAAUGAUUCUUGUGUCAAAGAUGAAAAUUUACGACAUAAAUAAGCUAACUUGUGAGGUGGAAUAUGAACAACGUAGACGACAAUAUAAUACAUCUAAAUCAGCAAAUUUUAUUUCACGGUAACAAAGGAAUGAAUUAAAUGAAUACAAAUGUACAACACAAAAUUCAAGGAAUAUUUCAACAUAGAUCAACAUAUGAUGUUGGCUGAUUUCAAAUGUGCUUUUGAGUUCCAGCAAACGGUUUUCCUAAGAGGACCUUGUUUCGAUCUAAGUUGUUUAACAGAUUGAAGAUGGCAGAAAUUAGCUGACGUCAAAAAGAGAUGGGCGUGAGUGAGUUCUUCCUCUACCUUUUCGUUAUCAUCGUGUACAGUUUGUGAUUCAUAUACUGAUGCACUGAUUCGUUAUAAAAUUAUGAAGUAUU